CCUGAACGCUGGCGGCGUGGCUAAGACAUGCAAGUCGAACGGGUGUAGCAAUACACCAGUGGCGGACGGGUGAGUAAUGUAUCGCUAAUGUACCCCGGAGUCAGGGAUAGCUGCCCGAAAGGGCAGGUAAUACCUGGUGAUACAACUUGGUCGCAUGGCCGAGUUUUCAAAGGAGCAAUCCGCUCUGGGAGCAGGCGAUAUCGUAUCAGGUAGUUGGUGAGGAACGGCUCACCAAGCCGACGACGCGUAGCUGGUCUGAGAGGACGGCCAGCCACAUCGGGACUGAGACACUGCCCGGACUCCUACGGGGGGCUGCAGUAACGAAUCUUCCACAAUGCACGAAAGUGUGAUGGAGCGACGCCGCGUGUAGGAUGAAGU
rnacentral:rRNA from 1 species